UCUUUAAUUCCUUUUGAUUCUGUUCUUGUCUCUUAUCCUCUCCUUCAAUUCCUCUCCUCUCAGCCUUUGACAAUGGGUCAUCAUAUUUGUGACAGAAUCAACUCAUUGCUUGUUACAAAUGGAGCAUUGCCUCUAAUUCCACUCAAUAGUCGGUUCACCUCGCCUCUGCGCUGCACCUUUAUGUGCAAGGAAGAAUUGCCUCUGCUCUGGAUAAUUGGAGUGUGAAGGCCAUUAGAAGAAAGACAACCAGAACCGGAAGAAUGAGGUACCUGCGCCAUGUACCGGCGCAGGUUCAAGAGUGGCUUCAGAGAAGGCACUCAAGCAGCACCGAGGAAGAAGGGAGCAGCAACAUCUGCUUAAGGCUAGAGGGCUAUUGUGGGCAGAAUUCGGAUAUCCUAUUACAGAUUCAGUCAACAAGUAUGUGUUGGGACAAAUUUUUAUGAGAACACUGUUUGAUGCUAUUUAGUCUCAUUGUAGUUUUCUUUGCUCUGUAGUUGUUUUUGAUGUUUAAUGGGGAUUUUGAGACUAUAUACCAUUUAAUUACCUGAUGUCUCCAUUGAAGUGCAUAAAAUAAAUUCUAUCUUUUGGCUCGA